GAUGAACGCUGGCGGCGUGCCUAAUACAUGCAAGUCGAGCGAACGGACGAGAAGCUUGCUUCUCUGAUGUUAGCGGCGGACGGGUGAGUAACACGUGGAUAACCUACCUAUAAGACUGGGAUAACUUCGGGAAACCUUAUCUAAUACCGGAUAAUAUUUUGAACCGCAUGGUUCAAAAGUGAAAGACGGUCUUGCUGUCACUUAUAGAUGGAUCCGCGCUGCAUUAGCUAGUUGGUAAGGUAACGGCUUACCAAGGCAACGAUGCAUAGCCGACCUGAGAGGGUGAUCGGCCACACUGGAACUGAGACACGGUCCAGACUCCUACGGGAGGCAGCAGUAGGGAAUCUUCCGCAAAGGGCGAAAGCCUGACGGAGCAACGCCGCGUGAGUGAUGAAGGUCUUCGGAUCGUAAAACUCUGUUAUUAGGGAAGAACAUAUGUGUAAGUAACUGUGCACAUCUUGACGGUACCUAAUCAGAAAGCCACGGCUAACUACGUG
rnacentral:rRNA from 1 species